GUUUGGUGAGGCAAGGCCAUGUCUGGUUUCUGAGAACUGCAAGAGCGCAGAGCGGCGUCACCGUCGUUAGUGGGGACUGGCUCUGCUCUGUGGCUGCAGAUGGUAGACAGCAAAGAGGCUCCGUUUCUGCUCCUG
ensembl:miRNA